UCCAAAAUUAAACUUUGUUUGAUUUCAUCAAAAAUUGAAUAAAUGGGGGUUCUUUGAUAUACCAAAUCUAACUGUGUAUGUAGAUUCUUCAUUUUUGGUCCUGUUUCAAAUUGGUCUACACUAAAGUCCAAAGGGUCCAAAAUUAAACUUAGUCUGAUUUUAACAAAAAUUGAAAUCUUGAGGUUCUUUGAUAUGCUGAAUCCAAAAAAUGUACUUAGAUUUUUUAUUAUGGGCCCAGUUUUCAAGUUGGUCCAAAUCAGGAUCCAAAAUUAUUAUAUUAAGUAUUGUGCAAUAGCAAGUCUUUUCAAUUGCACAGUAUUGCGCAAUGGCAAGAAAUAUCUAAUUGCAC
rnacentral:lncRNA from 1 species